ensembl:lincRNA
GCCCAAUGUUCAAUAUAUAAAGAAGUCACAAAGAAAAAAAAAAAUCAAGACCAGGAUUUAUUUUGUCUUUUUAAGUUCAAGCCACAAAAUGUAUCUGGAAGAAUUGGAAAAUACUUUCUUCAGGGAAUUCCACAAGAACUGGAAAAUCUCAGGCAAAAUUAGAACCAAAGAAAACAGAAACAGUAGAGAUCUUGGAGAUCAUCAGCUCCAAGCCUGCCACUUUGCCACUGAAAAAAGACCAGACAGAGAUUCACAGUUGGAUGGCAGCGGAAUGUGGAACUGGGUAGAGAGCCUGUGCCUGCUGACUGUAAGAAUAAUUUCUUAGUCCACAUCCCGUGCUAGCAUUGCCUUGAACAUUUACUCCAAAUCAAACCGACGUGUAACUGAACAGAAAAGGGAAAAUAAACUGUUCCUUGUGGCAGACGCUUGGAACAUUGGCUUCUUUCUCCAAACUUCACAGUUCAUGUUCUGCAUAACAUGGAAAUCAACAAGGGUCCUGUUUUGUCAGUUGAGUAUGCAUAUUUCUCAGGAAUGCACUGUAUGUCUGGCAUUCUCCCCACACGCCCUCUCCUGUUCCUCUCUGCACCAUAUAUGGCUCUGUGUUCUGAUGUCUGGGUCACAGAACUCAGGCCUCGGACGUGAAUACAAUCUGCUUUCUGGGCUGUUUGUCUUUACUGGAAACCCACUGAAUCCAUCUAGGAAACAUUUACUAAAAUGCAAAAGGCAGGGAAAAUUGAUUCACACCCUGAACUUGGAAAGGAAGGGAAGAUUUUUCUUCUGCUCAACCAAAGCCUUGAGUGCUGAGUACAAAGAAGAGAGAAAAAUCACAACCAGAAGAGACCAAGGGCUAAGGAAGAGUGAUCAUCACCUGCCACUGACCUUAGGACAUUCCAUGAUGUCCCCUUUUUUUUCCUUAACUAUUAGCCUCACGUUCAGAAACUAAAAAGGCGAAAGACGGAAACCAUCUAAUAAAAAUAUGGAACCCAACAUGUUGACAAAAAUGAGUUAAAGAAAAUAAUAUCAUAGCGCUCUUACAGACUUGUUUUUAAAACCAAUAAUGACAGUCAGAAAAGGUGAUAUAAAGCAAAAGUAAAAUUAAGCCCAGAGAAAGACUCAUUUGCCUGGGAUCCCUCUCAGCCGUGUAAUCGAUACAGACAGCAAAGACCAUAAUACUCAUGUUUCUAUUUGCUACCCUCAACUGACAUGGUUGGCCGUUUGUUUUGUUUUAAAUAAAAUGGGGAAGCAACAAAUAUAUUAAAUUCAUCUGCAAAAAAACCCCUAUUUGCAUGUGGAAAACAAAUAAGUGGGUGCCUGAAUGGGUGAUUAGGCCCGCGAUUGCCCAUCUGCACGGGCCAAGCAUCCUUGCAGGUGCAUGCUCCGCAGCAGCGAAAAAUCCGAAACACCAAGUCGUUCACCACAGAGGGCGACGGGGGGAGGGAAACUAGAGCCCUCAGCCACUGGACUUGCUCUGAACCACGUAGAGUUACAGUCCCAGCUUCCGAGUCACCACACCUUGUAUCUUAAAGCUGAGAAACAGGGAUACGUGCUGGCGUUCUUUCUGUUGGAUUUCUUGGAUGCUUUCUUUCAAUCAUAAAGGCAAAUUUCCCUCCUCUCCCAAGCAUCUUAAAUGUGUACUUAGCAGAUGUUUAUUGCUGCAACUGUUUUUAUCAGCACACAUUAUGUCUCCAACAGGGUUCACUCCAGCCACACCGGCCUCCUCACCUUUUUAACAAACACAGGGCCUCCUCCAGGCUCUGGGACUUUGCAACAGUUUUUCAUCUGCCUGAAACCCCUUCUCCCACCACCACUCCACACCUCUGGCUUCCUACCUCCCUUCAUGCUGCAGGGCUUUGCCCCCAUGAACCCUUACCAGCAAUACCUGAAAUCAACUACAUCUAUGUCCUCUCCCUUUGUGCCUCUAACCUGCUUUUCUUCAUAUAGCCUCAGUCUCAUGUUAUAUAUUUAUUCCUUGCUUUGUCUGCUUUGCUUAUAGUUAGUUCACCUGGACAAGUGUCCAGCACUCAGUAGGCACUUAGCAGUUGUUAAAGUAAUGAAUCACACUAUUUUUUUCUGCAAACCACUCUACCAAGCGCCCUUGGAUUGGUUACAGAAUAAGACCGGCUCUGUGCCCUCUUGGAGUUUCUAUGUCCAGGGAGAAGGAAGACUGAGAAUUUGCAUACAUGGCACAGCAACUCGGCAUGAAUGUUCCGCUGGGUGCAC